rnacentral:tRNA from 1 species
AGCAGGGUAGAGAAGCGGUUAACUCACUGGGCUCAUAAUCCGGAGAUCGAGGGUUCGAAUCCCUCCCCUGCAACCA